UACGGAGGAUCCAAGCGUUAUCCGGAUUUAUUGGGUUUAAAGGGUGCGUAGGUGGUUUUUUAAGUCAGGGGUGAAAGACGGCAGCUUAACUGUCGCAGUGCCUUUGAUACUGAAGAACUUGAAUAAACUAGAGGUAGGCGGAAUGUGACAAGUAGCGGUGAAAUGCAUAGAUAUGUCACAGAACACCAAUGGCGAAGGCAGCUUGCUGGGCUACUCCUGACACUGAGGUACGAAAGCGUGGGGAGCGAACAGG
rnacentral:rRNA from 1 species